UACAGUAGGAAAAUUGAUAUUAGCUUUGAGCUCCAUGAGAUUUUGGUGAAUGAAGAGAUUUACUGGCUUCAACAAUCACAUGAGCGAUGGUUGCUUAAGGGUGAUCUUAAUACAGACUAUUUUCACAAGAUUGCUAAUGGGCGUAAACACAAAAAUACUAUACACUCUCUUAAAGCUGGUGAGGUGGAGAUAGAGGGCACAGAUAACCUGAUUGCCCAUGCUACUGAUUUCUAUAAAGAACUUUUCGGCCCAGCUCGGGGCAAUCAAUUUCAUUUGGACCCUGAUACUUGGUCUGAUGGCAAAAAGUUGAAUGAGGAAGAUAAUAGAGAUCUGUGUCGGGAGUUCACUGAAACUGAAGUUAGAGAAGCUCUCUUCUCCAUGGCCACCAAUAGAGCACCUGGGCCAGAUAAUAUACCAGUUGAAUUUUAUCAGAUAUGUUGGGAGAUAGUGAAGGAUGAUAUCAUGUCCUUGUUUAGGCACUUCCAUAAUGGGACGCUUGAUGUACAACGUCUUAAUUAUGGGGUGAUCACUUUACUGCCCAAAGUAUCUGGAGCUGACAAAAUCCAACAGUUCAGACCGAUUUGUCUCCUGAGAUGCCCAUAUAAGCUCAUUACAAAGGUAACGGACCGUAGGGUGGAGGUAUAUGCUGAUAAGUUGAUCAGUCCUACUCAAAAUGCGUUUAUUAAAGGGAGGAAUAUUAUGGAUGGUGUGUUAUCUUUGCAUGAAAUCCUGAACUAUACUCAUGUUAAAAAGAGGGUGGGCAUAGUGUUGAAACUUGACUUUGAAAAAGCAUAUGACAAAGUUAACUAG
rnacentral:rRNA from 1 species